UACGAAGGGGGCUAGCGUUGUUCGGAUUUACUGGGCGUAAAGCGCACGUAGGCGGAUCGUUAAGUCAGGGGUGAAAUCCUGGAGCUCAACUCCAGAACUGCCUUUGAUACUGGCGAUCUUGAGUCCGGAAGAGGUGAGUGGAACUCCUAGUGUAGAGGUGGAAUUCGUAGAUAUUAGCUAGAAUACCAGUGGCGAAGGCGGCCAACUGGUCCGGUACUGACGCUGAGGUGCGAAAGCGUGGGGAGCAAACAGG
rnacentral:rRNA from 1 species